rnacentral:lncRNA from 1 species
GGAUUUUAUCCUGAUUGAAGAAGAAGAUCAAAAGUUUUCAGUCAUAGUUUCACCCCAAAAGGCUCUAUGAAAGAAACCUGAUACCAAAGAGGGUUUUGCGCAUACAAGAUGAAAAUGGAGGAUUUUAGGUGGAGGACUCUAUCUAUGACAACAUUGAUUCUGAUCGAAGGGGAUAACAAGGACUUGCCUAAUUCUAUGAAGUCAGAUUCAAUAAAAAAAAUCAAAAACAAAAACAAAAAAGAAGAAAAAUAAAAAUCAAAGUCAAACGCAAAAAAAGAAAAAUCAAUCAAAAUAAAAAUCAAAAUAAAAAAAAGAGAAAAAGAAAAUGAGA